GGACAGUCAAGGAUUUUCACCCGAUCUGAGGGUUGAAUUCAGGAGUGUUGGAGACCAAGCACGCUGAGGUACAUCGCCCAUAUGCAUGAAGCAGGCUGGUGUUUGCUGAGUGAAAGGAUGUUUGAGACUGAAACUGAACUUUGCGUUGAAGGAGUCAUGAGACUAGUUGAUUGUCAGGCAAGGAAAGAAGAACCCUGAGGAGCACCAUAUGCAAGAACUGGAGAAGAUGUGCCAGACAGUACUCCAAGAUGUCACUGAUACCAUUAGAAGCCUGGGGAAGUGUCGUUGUGGAAUCAAAUCCAAUGUGGGAGACACGAUAAUUAUUGGGGAUUCAGCAUCUGAAACUGUAGCAGAAGAAAUGACAGUAUUACAUA